GUCCUUUUGUUAAAAAUUUAAGGUCUAACCUGCCCACUGAUAAGUUGAAUGGCCGCGGUAUUUUGACCGUGCUAAGGUAGCAUAAUCAUUAGUUUUUUAAUUAAAAGCUGGAAUGAAGGGUUGAAUGAAAAAAUGACUGUCUCUUAUAAAUUUUAUUAGAAUUUUAUUUUUAAGUUAAAAAGCUUAAGUAUAUUUGAAAGACGAGAAGACCCUAUAGAGUUUAAUAUAAUUUAAUUUUUAAUGGUUAAGAAUUUAAUUUUUAAUUAUAACAUUAUAUUUAAUUGGGGUGAUUAAAAAAUUUAAUAAACUUUUUUUUUAUUUUAAUAUAAAUUAAUAAAUAUUUGAUCCAAAUUUUUUGAUUAUAAGAAUAAAUUACCUUAGGGAUAACAGCGUAAUUAUAUUGGAGAGUUCUAAUCGAUAGUAUAGAUUGCGA
rnacentral:rRNA from 1 species